rnacentral:rRNA from 1 species
GGGGUGCUCGAGUGGCGAACGGGUGAGUAACACGUGAGUAACCUGCCCUUGACUUUGGGAUAACUUCAGGAAACUGGGGCUAAUACCGGAUAGGAGCUCCUGCUGCAUGGUGGGGGUUGGAAAGUUUCGGCGGUUGGGGAUGGACUCGCGGCUUAUCAGCUUGUUGGUGGGGUAGUGGCUUACCAAGGCUUUGACGGGUAGCCGGCUGAGAGGGUGACCGGCCACAUUGGGACUGAGAUACGGCCCAG